CGCCCUUGCGAGGUCCCGCUGCGCGCCGGCUGUGAGCCGGGGGCGUCCGGGCGCAGGGAGGAGCCCAGAGGGCCCCAGAGCCGUGGCCAGCCUGCUCCUCGCAGCCGCGUGACCCGGAGCCCAGCCUGGCCUCUCGAGGCUCAGCCGUGUGCACCGGAGAUGGACGCGGGCCCAGGGCGCGUCCUGGCUCAGCUCUCACCGAAGGCCAUUCCUAGGCGCGACGCGAGCCCCGGGGCAGGUUCAGCUUGAGGGCACUUGUGCUGUGCAGCUGGCUACACGAGGGAGGGAGCACUUGAAGUGCUGGGGUCGGGAAGGCUUCACAAAUGACACAUUCCAGCUGGGCUUUGUGGGAUGGAUAGGAGUUUUCCAAUCUAAGGGCAAGGGCAGUCCAGCUGGAUGCUUCACACCUGUAACCCAGCACUCUCGGAGGCUGAAACAGGAGGAUCAAAAGUCCAGGCCCACGCUGGGCAACUUAGUACUUCAGCAAAACUGUGCUCACAGUAAAUGGAAAGAGCCAGGGGUGGGGCUCCGCGGAGUGACCCGAGAUGCGCAGCCGGUGGGGGGCCGCACAGGAAGCCGCAUGGCGCGGCUGGGAAACGGGGUGGUUUGUGCGGCCACGCCCGGUGGGUGAGGGGCCCGGGAGAGGCUGAGAGUUCUCCAGGCUGCGGCCACACUGCCGAGGGGCUCUGGGGCUUAGGGAAGCUGCCAGGAGCCCCGUGUCCGCAGCCGCACGGCCCGGGCGCCUUGGUCAAGAAGGGAGAUCAGCGUACAGUGGGACAGGACCCUGGGCUGAGAGGUCACGCGACUUCCUUGGGGUCACACAGCUCCGUGAGCCGAGGUCCAGCCCACAGCCCAGGCCCCCCACAGUGGACGCGCACAGAGAGCGGCUCGGGACCCACGACUCUACGCUCUUACAGAUGUGCGGCCAGAUGUGUUUCUCCGACGGCCACGCAGUGGGGUCUGAGGGCCCACUCCCUGCUGCCGCGGUGUCCCCGCCAGAGCCUCGGAAGGGGCUCUGUCUUGCCUGGGAGGUCGCAGGUGCCGUCUGUGGGCGCCCGCGACACUGUGGGCGUCACACAGGUGGAGCCGCGAGGGGCUGAGGGUCUCACACCUCCGCACCCGCACCAGCCGUGGUUCUCAGGGCCCCGAGCCUGGGACGAAGAGGAUGGGAGGCUUGGGCCCCAGGUCCAGCCGAGCAGGAGGACGGAAGCACGUGAUUCGGUGUCUAUGAAAACGUGCCGUGUUCCCUCGAAAAUGAGACCUAACCGGAAAAGAAGCCUGGCCGUUACCAUGGUGACAGCCAGCAUCCUGCGGCAGAGUCCAGCUCCUGGAGCCUUAACUCAGUGGCUGUUCUGUGGGCAGAUAAGGCCAAGUGACAGUUUUGAUCUCUAGUUUUCAAAGCUGAUUAUUUCCCAG
ensembl:lincRNA